CCUACGGGAGGCAGCAGUGGGGAAUAUUGGGCAAUGGGCGCAAGCCUGACCCAGCAACGCCGCGUGAAGGAAGAAGGCUUUCGGGUUGUAAACUUCUUUUAAGAGGGAAGAGCAGAAGACGGUACCUCUUGAAUAAGCCACGGCUAACUACGUGCCAGCAGCCGCGGUAAUACGUAGGUGGCAAGCGUUGUCCGGAUUUAUUGGGUUUAAAGGGAGCGUAGGCCGCAUGUCAAGCGUGCUGUGAAAUGUCCGGGCUCAACCCGGGCCUUGCAGCGCGAACUGGCGUGCUUGAGUCCGCGGAAAGCAGGCGGAAUUCGUCGUGUAGCGGUGAAAUGCUUAGAUAUGACGAAGAACCCCGAUUGCGAAGGCAGCUUGCUGCAGCGGAACUGACGCUGAUGCUCGAAAGCGCGGGUAUCGAACAGGAUUAGAUACCCUUGUAGUC
rnacentral:rRNA from 1 species